rnacentral:rRNA from 1 species
CCUACGGGUGGCAGCAGUGGGGGAUAUUGCACAAUGGGGGGAACCCUGAUGCAGCGACGCCGCGUGGGUGAAGAAGCGCCUCGGCGCGUAAAGCCCUGUCAGCAGGGAAGAAAAUGACGGUACCUGAAGAAGAAGCCCCGGCUAACUACGUGCCAGAAGCCGCGGUAAUACGUAGGGGGCAAGCGUUAUCCGGAUUUACUGGGUGUAAAGGGGGCGCAGACGGCGAUGCAAGCCAGGAGUGAAAGCCCGGGGCCCAACGCCGGGACUGCUCUUGGAACUGCGUGGCUAGAGUGCAGGAGGGGCAGGCGGAAUUGCUGGUGUAGCGGUGAAAUGCGUAGAUAUCAGGAGGAACACCGGUGGCGAAGGCGGCCUGCUGGACUGCAACUGACGUUGAGGCCCGAAAGCGUGGGGAGCAAACAGGAUUAGAUACCCGAGUAGUC